AUUGCCCUAGUAACGGCGAGUGAAGCGGCAACAGCUCAAAUUUGAAAUCUGGCUCCUUUGGGGUCCGAGUUGUAAUUUGUAGAGGGUGCUUUGGUGUUGGCUGUGGUCUAAGUUCCUUGGAACAGGACGUCACAGAGGGUGAGAAUCCCGUACGUGGCCGCCAGCCUCCACCGUGUAAAGCCCCUUCGAUGAGUCGAGUUGUUUGGGAAUGCAGCUCUAAAUGGGAGGUAAAUUUCUUCUAAAGCUAAAUAUUUGCCAGAGACCGAUAGCGCACAAGUAGAGUGAUCGAAAGAUGAAAAGCACUUUGGAAAGAGAGUCAAAAAGCACGUGAAAUUGUUGAAAGGGAAGCGCUUGCAGCUAGACGUGCCUUGGGUUGAUCAGCCGGGCUUUUGCCCGGUGCACUCUUCCUUUGGCAGGCCAGCAUCAGUUUGGGCGGCUGGAUAAAGGUCUGUUAAACGUGACUUCCUUCGGGGAGAGCUUAUAGGGCAGACGACAUGCGGCCAGCCUGAACUGAGGUCCGCGCAUCUGCUAGGAUGCUGGCGUAAUAGCUGUAAGCGGCCCGUCUUGAAACACGGACCAAGGAGUCUAACAUCUAUGCGAGUGUUUGGGUGUCAAGCCCGAGCGCGUAAUGAAAGUAAACGGAGGUGGGAACCCUUUGGGUGCACCAUCGACCGAUCCUGAUGUCUUCGGAUGGAUUUGAGUAAGAGCAUAGCUGUU
rnacentral:rRNA from 1 species